AGUGAACGCUGGCGGUAGGCCUAACACAUGCAAGUCGAACGGCAGCACAGUAAGAGCUUGCUCUUACGGGUGGCGAGUGGCGGACGGGUGAGGAAUACAUCGGAAUCUACUUUUUCGUGGGGGAUAACGUAGGGAAACUUACGCUAAUACCGCAUACGACCUACGGGUGAAAGCAGGGGAUCUUCGAACCUUGCCCGAUUUAAUGAGCCGAUGUCGGAUUAGCUAGUUGGCGGGGUAAAGGCCCACCAAGGCGACGAUCCGUAGCUGGUCUGAGAGGAUGAUCAGCCACACUGGAACUGAGACACGGUCCAGACUCCUACGGGAGGCAGCAGUGGGGAAUAUUGGACAAUGGGCGCAAGCCUGAUCCAGCCAUACCGCGUGGGUGAAGAAGGCCUUCGGGUUGUAAAGCCCUUUUGUUGGGAAAGAAAAGCAGCAGGUUAAUACCCCGCUGUUCUGACGGUACCCAAAGAAUAAGCACCGGCUAACUUCGCG
rnacentral:rRNA from 1 species